UAAAAACAUAUGAAACAAUAGGAGAUAUAUCAAGUACUCCAUAAAUAUCUCUUCAAUGAAGGAAAAGUUAGUAAACCUCUUUUUAAAAGUAUUGUGAAGAUUAACUGUGAUAGAUUUGGAAACACUUUAUAAAUUCUUUUAAACUGCUAAUUGAUAUCACUUUUAGGCUAAUUGUGAUCCAGGUUAUGUUUACUACUCUUAGAGGUUAUGAAAAUAGGAAUAGUAUUUGAUCUUGAAAAAUAUAUGUAUUUCUAAAAAAUUCUUAUUUACUGUAUCCCCUCCUAGAUAUCUUCCACAGGUUUUAACAUAUCAGUUUGAAUAAGGCACAGAAUUAAAACAAUGUACUCCUUCAUGGGUAACUGUAGCUCAUCCUGUACCAAGCAUAGCUGUUGCAAAUGGUUUCCACCCUCCUUAAGCUCCACUCUGCCAUUGCAUUGUGUGGUUGGGGGUGCAAAGGUGUUUCCUUCAGAGAACAUUGGAAAGGGAACUGUGGUGAGUGUGAAGUCCUUCUGUACUUUGACUGAUGGAAGUAAAGAAAGAGAGGGGAAAAGGUGCUUGGUGGUUGGAUGUGAACGUCAGCUCUUCUGAAAGAUCCACCUGUCCAUUAUCCUUCCUUCUUCCAUUUCCAUUUAUGUAAAAAGCAAUGGAGGAAAUUCAAUUUCCUUCACAAUCAGCGACAAAGUAAGAGUUUGCACAGCAUCAGUGUAAAGACAAUCUAGGAAAAAUAAUGAUGGAACUAUCUUUUUUAAAAAGUAAUGGCAAUAGACUUUUCACUAGAAAGGUGUGCCAUAUAGAAGAUAUAAUUCUUGCCAAAUAAAUAUUUUGCCGGGAACA
rnacentral:lncRNA from 1 species